AUUGAACGCUGGCGGCAGGCCUAACACAUGCAAGUCGAACGAGUGGCGGACGGGUGAGCAAUGUCUGGGAAUUUGCCUGAUGGAGGGGGAUAACUACUGGAAACGGGAGCCAAUACCGCAUACCAGCGGAUGUGCCCAGAUGGGUUUAGUUAGUAGGUGGGGUAAAGGCUCACCUAGGCGACGAUCCCUAGCGGGUCUGAGAGGAUGACCAGCAACACUGGAACGGAGACACGGUCCAGACUCAGACGGGAGGCAGCAGUGGGGAAGAUUGGACAAUGGGCGCAAGCCUGAUGCAGCCAUGCCGCGUGUGUGAAGAAGGCCUUCGGGUUGUAAAGAACUUUCAGUGGGGAGGCGUUACCCGCAGAAUAAGCACCGGCUAACUCCGUGCCAGCCGCCGCGGUAAUAC
rnacentral:rRNA from 1 species